ensembl:Mt_tRNA
AAGAAGUAGUUUAACUGAGAAUGUUGGCUUUGGGAGCCAGCGGUGGAGGUUAGAAUCCUUCCUUUUUGAG